rnacentral:rRNA from 1 species
AACGAACGCUGGCGGCAGGCCUAACACAUGCAAGUCGAACGUGAAGCCACCUUCGGGUGGUGGAAAGUGGCAGGCGGGUGAGUAACGCGUGGGAACGUGCCUUUCGGUUCGGAAUAACCCAGGGAAACUUGGGCUAAUACCGGAUACGCCCUUCGGGGGAAAGAUCCAUCGCCGAAAGAUCGGCCCGCGUCGGAUUAGCUAGUUGGUAGGGUAAUGGCCUACCAAGGCGACGAUCCGUAGCUGGUCUGAGAGGAUGACCAGCCACACUGGGACUGAGACACGGCCCAGACUCCUACGGGAGGCAGCAGUGGGGAAUAUUGGACAAUGGGCGAAAGCCUGAUCCAGCCAUGCCGCGUGGGUGAAGAAGGCCUUAGGGUUGUAAACCCCUUUCAGCGGGGAAGAUAAUGACGGUACCCGCAGAAGAAGCCCCGGCUAACUCCGUGCCAGCAGCCGCCGUAAGAC